UUGUUCUUAUUGGAUAUAUACUUUUACCAGCCAGUGGCUUGGAGAUGCCAGGACCUCAGCCAGUUAGCCCUGGACAAAAUACCAUCAACUUCUUCCAUUGGAGUUUCUUCAGUUAAAUUGUUGGAAUUUUUGACAAGGUUCUCUUUAUGUGGAUUAUUAUAAGUGUGAUAACUCGGGACUCUCCACUUAUGGAAGUGCUCUCAGGGGACUGCAGAGGCCUCCACACCCAGCAUACUCAGUCCCUAGCACUACACAGAUCAAGUGUCCUGGCACAGCCAUGAAAGUCCAGCACGCAGGAGGUGGAAU